rnacentral:misc_RNA from 1 species
GAUGAAGAACGUAGCGAAAUGCGAUAAGUAAUGUGAAUUGCAGAAUUCAGUGAAUCAUCGAAUCUUUGAACGCACAUUGCGCCCGCCAGUAUUCUGGCGGGCAUGCCUGUUCGAGCGUCAUUUCAACCAUCAAGCCCCCCGGCUUGUGUUGGGGACCUGCGGCUGCCCGCAGGCCCUGAAAACCAGUGGCGGGCUCGCUGUCACUCCGAGCGUAGUAGCAUAUAUCUCGCUCAGGGCGUGCUGCGGGUUCCGGCCGUUAAAAGCCUUUUUUUACCCAAGGUUGACCUCGGAUCAGGUAGGAAGACCCGCUGAACUUAAGCAUAUCAAUAAGCGGAGGA